rnacentral:tRNA from 1 species
AGCCCUGUGGUGUUCAGCACAUAAGAUUGCAAAUCUUCUAGAGCAGUAUGACAUCUGCCGGGGCUUC